rnacentral:piRNA from 1 species
UGAAGGCAUCACGCCUUGUAUGACCCUUGC